rnacentral:rRNA from 1 species
CCUACGGGGGGCAGCAGUGGGAAAUAUUGCACAAUGGGGGAAACCCUGAUGCAGCAACGCCGCGUGAGCGAUGAAGGCCUUCGGGUCGUAAAGCUCUGUCCUAAGGGAAGAAUACUGACGGUACCUUAGGAGGAAGCCCCGGCUAACUACGUGCCAGCAGCCGCGGUAAUACGUAGGGGGCGAGCGUUAUCCGGAAUCACUGGGCGUAAAGGGUGCGUAGGCGGCCUUUUAAGCCAGGGGUGAAAGGCUACGGCUCAACCGUAGUAAGGCCCUGGAACUGAUUGGCUUGAGUGCAGGAGGGGAGAGUGGAAUUCCCAGUGUAGCGGUGGAAUGCGUAGAUAUUGGGGGGAACACCAGUUGCGAAGGCGGCUCUCUGGACUGUAACUGACACUGAGGCACGAAAGCGUGGGGAGCGAACAGGAUUAGAUACCCGUGUAGUC